GAUGAACGCUGGCGGCGUGCCUAAUACAUGCAAGUCGAGCGAACGGACGAGAAGCUUGCUGCUCUGAUGUUAGCGGCGGACGUGUGAGUAACACGUGGAUAACCUACCUAUAAGACUGGUAUAACUUCGGGAAACCGGAUCUAAUACCGGAUAAUAUUUUGAACCGCAUGGUUGAAAAGUAAAAUACGGUCUUGCUGUCACUUAUAGAUGGAUCCGCGCUGCAUUAGCUAGUUGGUAAGUUAACGGCUUACCAAGGCAACGAUGCAUAGCCGACCUAAGGGGGUGAUCGGCCACCUUGGAACUGAGACACCGUCCAGACUACUACGGGAGGCAGCAGUAGGGAAUCUUCCGCAAUGGGCGAGAGCCUGACGGAGCAGCGGCGAGUGAGUGAUGAAGGUCUUCGGAUCGUAAUACUCUGUUAUUAGGGAAGAACAUAUGUGUAAGUAACUGUGCACAUAGUGACGGUACCUAAUCAGAAAGCCACGGCUAACUACGUG
rnacentral:rRNA from 1 species